rnacentral:rRNA from 1 species
GAUGAACGCUAGCGGCAGGCUUAAUACAUGCAAGUCGUGGGGCAGCAUGAAUGUAGCAAUACAUUUGAUGACGACCGGCAAACGGGUGCGGAACACGUACACAACCUUCCUACAAGUGGGGAAUAGACACGAGAAAUUUGGAUUAAUACACCGUAACAUAGCGAUGUGGCAUCACAUUGCUAUUAUAGCUUCGGCGCUUGUUGAUGGGUGUGCGGCUGAUUAGAUAGUUGGAGGGGUAACGGCCAACAAAGUCUACGAUCAGUAGCUGAUGUGAGAGCAAGAUCAGCCACACGGGCACUGAGACACGGGCCCGACUCCUACGGGAGGCAGCAGUAAGGAAUAUUGGACAAUGGACGCAAGUCUGAUCCAGCCAUGCCACGUGAAGGAUUAAGGUCCUCUGGAUUGUAAACUUCUUUUAUAGGGGGCGAAAAAAGGUCUUUCUAGAUCGUCUGACGGUACCUUAUGAAUAAGCACCGGCUAACUCCGUGCCAGCCGCCGCAGUAAAAC